rnacentral:lncRNA from 1 species
CUGCUAGCGCCAUCUAUUCCAUCAGUAAGCGAACGAAUGUGUCCCCUGCGAGUGGCCUUACCGUUACCUUUCCAUGCAUUGCGCCUUCGCUGCGAAUUCUCUCCAGAUACAAUAAUUCGGACAGGUUAUCGAACACGGCUAUUGAUAUUGAAAGUAUCUACAGUUUAAAAUCGAUUAAACAAAAACUAGGUGUUUUUGCGCGGAAGCUCUUCAUAUCUACAUGCGGAGUGCACACCUGGAUGCCGCUUUCGACAUGAAAUAGCACAAAGGAUAUUUGCAUAAGCAUUAGAAGGGAAGUUAAAUUGAGAACGGUAACACAACUCACGAUCAUGUGUGGAAACACAUUCGUAUAUAUACAAAGGCUACUUUUAUAUGAUACGAUAUUUUGCAUGCAAUGUCUGACGAUAGCUGACAAUGCGAUACAGAAUGGAUUAUUUGUUCUCUGCUGUAACGCCUGUGCAUUGACGCAUACGUCGGAAAUCAAAUCGACUGCCCUACAACGGCAAAGGACCAUAAAAAAACUAUGUUUUAUCAAAGCUAUCUAGUAGAAAAGACCAAAACUAUUUGUGUAUAGCGUGUGUGCCUCAACAACUGUUAUGGGGCUAUCAAAAUUGAUGCUCAAGUGUAGAAUGCACAGAUAGUAUAUGAGUGUUUCGCUGCUUGCGCAACGUAUGUCGUAUUGUCAUAAUGAUGAUUUAUCAAUCCCAUUGCAAAGAAUGGCAACUUCCAAUCAAAACUAUGUGCAUAUCUUCAACGAUUAUUGUUUGCAUUUGUGUCUGGCGUUGUUAUGUACACACGGCGUUGACCAGCUGACUACGUUGGCAAUUUAUCUAAAACUGGACGUAUAUUUUCGUAAAGCUUCCCCGUAAAACUGUUUGGUACAACCAGUACUACUACUAGUACGCUCUAAAAGCUUAAACAAACAGCUGUAGUGAUAAUAAAGCUUAAUGAUACUGUAAAAAUUACGCGUCGGGGUGGUCAAACGAAAUAUG